UUGCCAGACUCCUACGGGAGGCAGCAGUGAGGAAUAUUGGUCAAUGGCCGGAAGGCUGAACCAGCCAAGCCGCGUGAAGGACGAAGGUGCCAAGCAUUGUAAACUUCUUUUGUCAAGGGACAAAAUCAGGCUCGAGAGCCUGACCGAGGGUACUUGAAGAAAAAGCAUCGGCUAACUCCGUGCCAGCAGCCGCGGUAAUACGGAGGAUGCGAGCGUUAUCCGGAUUUAUUGGGUUUAAAGGGUGCGUAGGCGGAUCGUUAAGUCAGUGGUCAAAUUGAGGGGCUCAACCCCUUCCCGUCAUUGAAACUGGCGUUCUUGAGUGGAAGAGAAGUAUGCGGAAUGCGUGGUGUAGCGGUGAAAUGCAUAGAUAUCACGCAGAACCCCGAUUGCGAAGGCAGCAUGCCGGCUUCCGACUGACGCUGAAGCACGAAAGCGUGGGGAUCGAACAGGAUUAGAUACCCUGGUAU
rnacentral:rRNA from 1 species